CAGACCGUAGCUAUCAACCACUCAGCCAUCUCUCC
rnacentral:tRNA from 1 species